AUGCUGGCGUUCCAUACGGUUUCCGAGACGUUCCGCCUCAUGUCGCGGCCGCCGGAGCGACCCGGCGAUACCACCACAAAUUGGAGCUUGUUUGAGCUAGACGGCGAGCUCUGCGUCGCGGCUAUGCAAAGCGAGACAUCGCUGGACAUCUGGGUGUUGCAGGACUACAAGGCGGAGAAGUGGAUGCUACGCCAUCGGGUCACAAUGUUGGGUGGCAGCAAUGCUGUGACGAUGACAACGGUACUCUCCGUUGGAAGCAGUGUCAUCCUCAUUGGAAGUCCCUACUGCGAUGUGGCCAGAUUGUACAAUCUCAAAGACAAGAAGAUGCACAGGGAUGUUAUCUUCGGCCCCUCAUUACCCACCUUCUUGCUAUUCACUGAGAGCCUCGUGUCGCAUGCCUUCUUCGAUUCGCCUCCACACCCUGACUUUGAAUCCAUAAGCUUCUCUUCUCGAAGAGGAGGUACCUAG
rnacentral:rRNA from 1 species